GACGAACGCUGGCGGCGUGCUUAACACAUGCAAGUCGAACGGAAAGGCCCUGCUUUUGUGGGGUGCUCGAGGGGCGAACGGGUGAGUAACACGUGAGUAACCUGCCCUUGACUUUGGGAUAACUUCAGGAAACUGGGGCUAAUACCGGAUAGGAGCUCCUGCUGCAUGGUGGGGGUUGGAAAGUUUCGGCUGUUGGGGAUGGACUCGCGGCUUAUCAGCUUGUUGGUGGGGUAGUGGCUUAGCAAGGCUUGGACGGGUAGCCGGCCUGAUAGGGUGACCGGCCACAUUGGGACUGAGAUACGGCCCAGACUCCUACGGGAGGCAGCAGUGGAGAAGAUUGCACAAUGGGCGGGAGCCUGAUGCGGCAACGCCGCGUGCGGGAUGACGGCCUUCGGGUUGUAAACCGCUUUCGCCUGUGACGAAGCGUGAGUGACGGUACUGGGUAAAGAAGCACCGGCUAACUACGUG
rnacentral:rRNA from 1 species